UCUUCUCUUUAUAAGUUUAGUUUAAACUUGUAGUACAAGAGCAGAAGAAGUAGCUAAGAGAGUAAAAGUAAGAGUAUAUAUUUCUUGGAGCUAACACAGAUAUCUAUUGGUUUAUUACUAAUAUGAGACAUUCAUCAAACCUCUACUCACUUGCUAUUGCCCUAGUUUUGAUUUUCCAUUUCUUGUUUCUUGCUCAUGCUCACCAACUUGUCUCUAAUGAUCUCAUUGUUGAUUCCUCUGGAGAUUCAAUGAAAGUGGAAACAAAUGGAUGUGAGAAAGAGAGAGGUGAUUGCAAACAAAGGAAUGGUAAUGGAGGAAAAGAAGAGAGUAUGUUUGAGAAUGAAGACUAUAUCUAUACACAGUCUACUCUUCCUUAGGUGAAUCUUCUCUUUUACUGUUUUUUCUUUUCUUUUCACUUUGUAAAAUAGAUUUUGAUCAAUUCAUCAAAUGAAUCGAAUAGGAUAUUGCAAGUUUUGAUUAUUAAUAAGAUUGUUUUAUCUUUUUUUGGA